rnacentral:rRNA from 1 species
GACGAACGCUGGCGGCGCGCCUAACACAUGCAAGUCGAACGGAGUCAAGAGGAGCUUGCUUUUCUUGACUUAGUGGCGAACGGGUGAGUAACGCGUGAGUAACCUGCCCUGGAGUGGGGGACAACAGUUGGAAACGACUGCUAAUACCGCAUAAGCCCACGGAUCCGCAUGGAUCUGCGGGAAAAGGAUUUAUUCGCUUCAGGAUGGACUCGCGUCCAAUUAGCUAGUUGGUGAGGUAACGGCCCACCAAGGCGACGAUUGGUAGCCGGACUGAGAGGUUGAACGGCCACAUUGGGACUGAGACACGGCCCAGACUCCUACGGGAGGCAGCAGUGGGGGAUAUUGCACAAUGGGGGAAACCCUGAUGCAGCGACGCCGCGUGGAGGAAGAAGGUUUUCGGAUUGUAAACUCCUGUCGUGAGGGACGAUAAUGACGGUACCUAGCAAGAAAGCACCGGCUAACUACGUG